UUGGUUCACAAGCUUCUUACGGAUCAAGUUGAUCCGUAAGCUUCUUUUGCCGAUCAACUUGAUUCGUAAGAAGCUUGCGGAUCAAUUUGAUCCGUGAGAAGCUAGCAGAUCAACUUGAUUCAUAAGAAGCUUGCGAAUCAA
rnacentral:pre_miRNA from 1 species